UUCGCUAUUGGUGGAUUAAAAAUUGACGUAGAGCAAGAGCAAGAACUUGACAAACUUGGCAGUUGACACUGACAGACUAGUUUAUGUUUUCGUCGGUUUUCUGCCUGCGCCAUGUAUUGAAUUGACUGAAUUUCCGAGGUUUUCUGAAUAAAUAAAACUAAAAUACUGUUAAUUAUAAGCUAGAGCUUUUAUAACUGAUGUCAAACUAUUGUGACGUUACCGCGAUUUCCAACAAGGGCAUACAACCUUUUUGGUGAUCAUGCUGGACGGUAGCUUGAUGGAUAUGGUUCUGACUACUCUGGGCGUACUAUUGAGUAUGGCGAUGUUAAGCUGUUUAUGCUGUAUUUGUAUGAAAUUCAGUGACCGCAAGAUGAAGAGUUAUGUAGUGGAAAUGGCUAAAAAGAAGGGUAUUAAAGUGGAUUUAGAUAAACUGGAUCCAAAAUACAAACAAUGUGAGUCGCCACAGUUAAACGAGAACUGCACAAUAAUGAUACCAGAUGUUGCCAUUGUUCUUUAGCUUAACCUGCUUGGUCAGCAUUAUUUUUUAAAGCAGUAUACUGUUUUGGGAUACCCAUAGAUUUAGGAUCCCACUAUUGUUCCAAAGAUUAUGUAGGAUAUAUUAUGUGGGAUGAGUCUAAAACAUAGGCACUUUAACAAAAACUAGCAACAUCUCGAAAAAUGUUUUAAAUUU